rnacentral:rRNA from 1 species
AUUGAACGCUGGCGGCAGGCCUAACACAUGCAAGUCGAACGAGUGGCGGACGGGUGAGUAAUGUCUGGGAAACUGCCUGAUGGAGGGGGUUAACUACUGGAAACGGUAGCUAAUACCGCAUACCAUCGGAUGUGCCCAUAUGGGAUUAGGUAGUAGGUGGGGUAACGGCUCACCUAGUCGACGAUCCCUAGCUGGUCUGAGAGUAUAACCAGCCAAACUGGAACUGGGACAUGGCCAAGCAUCGUAGGGGAGGAAGCAGUGGGGAAUAUUGCACAAUGGGGGAAGGCCUGAUGAAGCAAUGCGGCGUGGAUGAAGAAGGCCUUCGGGUUGUAAAGUACGUUAAGCGGGAAGGCGUUACCCGAAGAAGAAGCACCGGCUAACUACGUGCAAGCAGCCGCGGUAAUUC